rnacentral:rRNA from 1 species
CUACGGGUGGCUGCAGUGGGGAAUAUUGCACAAUGGGGGAAACCCUGAUGCAGCAACGCCGCGUGAGUGAUGACGGCCUUCGGGUUGUAAAGCUCUGUCUUCAGGGACGAUAAUGACGGUACCUGAGGAGGAAGCCACGGCUAACUACGUGCCAGCAGCCGCGGUAAUACGUAGGUGGCAAGCGUUGUCCGGAUUUACUGGGCGUAAAGGGAGCGUAGGCGGAUUUUUAAGUGGGAUGUGAAAUACCCAGGCUCAACCUGGGUGCUGCAUUCCAAACUGGGAAUCUAGAGUACAGGAGGGGAGAGUGGAAUUCCUAGUGUAGCGGUGAAAUGCGUAGAGAUUAGGAAGAACACCAGUGGCGAAGGCGACUCUCUGGACUGUAACUGACGCUGAGGCUCGAAAGCGUGGGGAGCAAACAGGAUUAGAUACCCUGGUAGUC